AACGCGAAGAACCUUACCAAGUCUUGACAUACACCGGAAAGCAUUAGAGAUAGUGCCCCCCUUGUGGUCGGUGUACAGGUGGUGCAUGGCUGUCGUCAGCUCGUGUCGUGAGAUGUUGGGUUAAGUCCCGCAACGAGCGCAACCCUUGUCCUGUGUUGCCAGCAUGCCCUUCGGGGUGAUGGGGACUCACAGGAGACCGCCGGGGUCAACUCGGAGGAAGGUGGGGACGACGUCAAGUCAUCAUGCCCCUUAUGUCUUGGGCUGCACACGUGCUACAAUGGCCGGUACAAUGAGCUGCGAUACCGUGAGGUGGAGCGAAUCUCAAAAAGCCGGUCUCAGUUCGGAUUGGGGUCUGCAACUCGACCCCAUGAAGUCGGAGUUGCUAGUAAUCGCAGAUCAGCAUUGCUGCGGUGAAUACGUUCCCGGGCCUUGUACACACCG
rnacentral:rRNA from 1 species